AAAACAUAAUUUUAUUUUAAGCAAAAUGUCUCCAUUUUUCUAUGCUCGAUUUUAUCCCCACUCUAUCCUCGAAAUCCCUUAUUGUUUUAUCCUAAAAGUUUUCCCUAAAUCCCUAAAAGUUUCUUCUCUAAAGAUUAGCAACAUCUCUUCCACACGAAUUAUACCUGUUAUAAUCUGCUCUGAAGAUGGAAUCCUCGCCGUAAUCGAACAAGGUAAGCAGUUCCUUAAGUACAACUAUUAUGAGUUGGACAAAACAAUAGUUAAGCUCAAACCCUCUUAUUCCCAUCAAUCUAUUCAUUUGCAGCAAAACCCAAGUCUGCAAACUAUCCCAAAGUCUCAUUCUCUGUUAUUUGCAGCCAAAGCCAACAAAAAUAUCCACCUUUUAAUUCUUUGCUCAACUUUUAUCGUAAAGAAGAAGUUCGUGUCACCAAAAAAGACAAGACUCAAUUCAUAGUUAUUUAUCAUAGACUAAUCCUCAUUUGACAUCUUCUGGUCUGAAAUCCAAAACUAGAGGCAAGCUUCCUGAUGAAUUUGUCGGUGUUAGCAAUACCUGUGGCUAUCAAAAUGAAUAUGACAAUAUUAUAGCACCCUUACCAAGUAUUGAAUACAAGGGCAAGAAAGAUUCAAGAGUCUUAUUCCAAGUUGUAUUAGGGAUUCCUCUGUGGCUGUCAUUGUCUAUGUUGUUGCAAGCAGUCCUUCGUAAAUACAUCAAAGUGGAUUGAAAAGGUACGAACUUAGCAGGGUAAUGAGUUAAUGUAGUUUACAACUGCUUUGGCUUUUGGCUGUGGUCAUUAAGUUGGUGUGAAAUUGUCGGUAGCCCUCUGCUGCAUCUUCGUCGGCAGCCCUCUACUGCUUCUCCAGUUUUUUGCCAUCUAGUUUUCUGUUAUUUGCCAUACUAAAAAAUGCUUAGAAGAAGAUUACGAGAUCUAAGUAUUAUUCAGAAUACUCUAAAUUUGGAAGAAACAAAUAGUGAACAACAGACUGCUAUUGGAUCAUCGAAUGUUCCAGAAACACCGGACGAGCCUGUAGAAAUUCAAACUGAAAGUUGUGGGACGUGCAGAGGUCGAGGACGUACGCUACUUAAAGAUUUAUACGAGUUAAAUCCUGUCGAGCGUGUCAAAGUAUCUAGAAACAAUCUUGGUCAGCCUGUUGGAUCAGAAGCUCGAAUUUUAGCAGGAUAUUUGGGCAUUAUAGCAUGAAAUACCAAUAUGUUGCCUAUCAACUAUGGAUCAUGGCAUCAAAUGCCUGAUAGUAACAAAAAGCUCUUAAUAAUAUUAAGGGAACAAAACAUGAAUGUAAUUUAUAAUACUUUGGUUUAAGUUUCAUUUAUAUUUACUUUCUAAACUUGUGUUUUUUAAAGAGAGAUUUGCUUUAGAGGUCUCGGAUACUUAUAUCAAGAAGGCAUUGGGAAAAAAAUGGAGAGACCAUAAAAGCACUUAAAAAAAGAAUAUUUUAAGAAAGAUAUAAGCCUCGAAGAGAAAUUCUGGAAUGUCCUGCAGGGAAUGCUGAGGUACCAAUGGGAAGAUGCGGUUAGAUUCUAGAAUUCAAAUAAAGGAGAGGAACUCUUGUCUGGUCAAAAAAUUAGACGCUUUCAGCUUUUUGACAUUACAAAUAGGAAGAAAGAUGGAUCUCCAAUGACUUCUGAAGCUGGAGAAAUUAUGAAUUAUUACUGAAGUUUUGGGUCCUGAAAGGUAUGGUCGAGUUCGAUUUCAAGGAUCUGGUGUUAACCCAACCCAAUAUUUUGGAUCCAGCUCGCAGCAAUACAUGCCUUCGGGGAGUCAAGCUCAAGCUGAAGUUCAAAGGUUAAGAGACCAGAUGGCUUAGAUGCAAGCGAGCACAGUUGAGAAAAUUGCUCAACUUAAAGUGGAGGCAGCAUCGAGAGAAGCACAGGUUUAAAGAAAAUAUGAAGAACUCCAGCUACAACUUAAAGAGGAGGCAACAGUGAGGGAAGCAGAGCAAAACAGAAAAUACAACGAAUCCAGCUACAGCUUCAAAAUAUGUUGAAGUUGUUUCAGCAGUCACAGAAUCUACCAUCUUAGACGUUUAUUUUCUUAUUGUAAGAAUGUUUUAACAAUAUAACUUUUAACAUUACUUUAAGAAUAUUUUGUUAUUUCAUUUAUUAAUUUAGAUAAUAUAUUUUUCGUUGGAUUUUUAA